rnacentral:rRNA from 1 species
UACAGAGGGGGCAAGCGUUGUUCGGAAUUAUUGGGCGUAAAGCGCGCGCAGGCGGUCUUUUAAGUCUGAUGUGAAAGCCCCCGGCUCAACCGGGGAGGGUCAUUGGAAACUGGGAGACUUGAGUGCAGAAGAGAAGAGUGGAAUUCCACGUGUAGCGGUGAAAUGCGUAGAGAUGUGGAGGAACACCAGUGGCGAAGGCGACUCUUUGGUCUGUAACUGACGCUGAGGCGCGAAAGCGUGGGGAGCAAACAGG